rnacentral:rRNA from 1 species
AGCGAACGCUGGCGGCAGGCUUAACACAUGCAAGUCGAGCGGGCAUAGCAAUAUGUCAGCGGCAGACGGGCGAGUAACGCGUGGGAACGUACCUUUUGGUUCGGAACAACUGAGGGAAACUUCAGCCAAUACCGGAUAAGCCCUUACGGGGAAAGAUUUAUCGCCGAAAGAUCUGCCCGCGUCUGAUUAGCUACUUGGGGAGGGAAUGGCUCACCAAGGAGACGAUCAGUAGCUGGUCUGAGAGGCUGAUCCGCCACAUUGGGACUGAGACACGGCCCAAACUCCUACGGGAGGCAGCAGUGGGGAAUAUUGGACAAUGGGCGCAAGCCUGAUCCAGCCAUGCCGCGUGAGUGAUGAAGGCCCUAGGGUUGUAAAGCUCUUUUGUGCGGGAAGAUAAUGACGGUACCGCAAGAAUAAGCCCCGGCUAACUUUGUGCCAGCAGCCGCCGUAA